UGUUUUUUAUUAUGUAAUGGUGCAAUAUCAUGGGAAUGUAAAAAACAGAAAUGUGUAGCCCUCUCUAGCACUGAAUCAGAGUAUAUUAGUCUAUCUGAGGCAUGUAAAGAAGCAUUGUAUCUAAAGGAAUUACAAUAUGAAAUAACAAAUAAAAUGUACACAAUCAAUCUGUAUAAUGAUAAUCAGGGUGCACAAAAAAACUGUGUGCAAAUCCAGUCUUUCACAAACGUACAAAGCACAUUGAUAUCAAAUAUCAUUUUUGUCGUGACCUAGUAAGAGAUAAGAUUGUUAAAAUACUGUAUUUGCCAACAGCUGAUAUGCCGGCUGAUAUUUUAACUAAAAGUUUAUGUACAACAAAACACUAUAAGUUUAUGUCGCUUCUUGGCAUAGUUUCUAUAGAAUAAAUUUGAUAUGUUAUAAAUUUUUUCAGUGAAUAUUGCGAUAAGUGGAGGUGUUAUUUUGUAUCGGCAAUAUCACGUUUAAAGUUAGUAGCGCCAUCUUCAGUAUGAAUAUGUAAUAUAUAUCUGUAUGUGCUGUAGUUUGCUUCUACAAUAAAAUGAAUUCACUUCUUGUUUGUCAUUCACGUGUUUCAUUUCAUUUUAAAUAUGAAAGUAAAUUAAAUGUGUUGCACGUGCAUUCUCAAGCGUCGCAUGCUCGUGAUAUACCGUUAUAACAGUUCUAAUAUCAUUAAAAUUUAUAUUCUGUAUUGCUAAAAGCUAGUGUGCUAACGUAGUCGCAAAAGUGAGUACAGAGAAAUCGUGGCGUGUAGACAAUUUAAUUUGCAAAAUAUUAUAAAAAUGAGUGAAUAUAAUUUUCGGUCGAAAAUUUACUUAAUUGGAACGUCAAGCUCCCAAAUUCUUGGUGCAAAACUACCAUCAAAUAACAUAGUGAAAUUAUCAAUUCUUAAGAGUGCUAGAUUGACUAUAAAAGAAGUGUCCGUAUUUUGGGAAAAAGCAAGAAUUCCAAUAAGAGAUGAAAAACACUGCAUUGACAAGUUGGAAAAUACGCAUAGAGAAUGGCAAGCUAUUGGAAAAAGUAAAAAUCGGCCUAGUGAAAAGCAAAAACAAAAAGUAAAGCAAUUUAGUGAAAUGUUAGAUGAUUUAUUUGAUAUUGCUCAUGCUAAUGCAUUACAACUAAUUAAAAUUGACACCGACAAAAAGUUUUUGAUAAAUCAACGAAAAAAGGGGCGACCAGGAUGUUUUGGUGUUGUUGAUACCAAAACUGCCCAGAAUGAGAAGAGAAAGGCAGCGAUUUUAGAAGAACAAAUGAGAAGAAAGAUACGAGUGGUAGACAAUAUGGAAAACGAAAUUGAGGCAAUUAACACAGAAGCAGAAGAAUUCUCUUCAGACAGUGAUGAUGUGCAUACAAAUUUGGAAAGUGAGAUGGAAGAAGAUUCUCAUCCAUCAUGCUCCACUUCCAUCAAAAAUCGAGGAACGAAACGUCUUCACUGAAAGAGUCGUAUCUGCCCUAGAUAAAUGCAAAAUUAGUGAUCGUUCAGCAAUGCAUAUUGUCACUGCCGUUGCUGAAGCACUAGGACAUAAUACAAAUGAACUCAUAAUAAACCGUACGUCAUUGCAGCGCCAAAGGCAUUUAAAUCGGUUAAAAAAAUCAGAAAACAGCAAGGAAAACCUCAAGAUACACUGUGGCACUUUGCAUUGUGAUGGAAAACUCCUUCCGGAAAUAACAGGUCGAGAAUAGGUGGAACGACUUCCAGUUGUUGUUACUGACAGGAACGGCGAACACUUAAUAGGGGCUCCAAAACUAUAUGCUGCAACGGGCUCAGAAAUAGCUGAUACGCUGUACGAACUGAUAUUUGAGUGGGACUUGAAGAAUCAUAUUGUGGUCUGUUGUUUUGAUACGACAUCGACUAACACGGGCGUAAUAAAAGGAGCUGCAACGUUGUUAGAAAAAAAACUUGAGCGAAAGCUUUUGUAUCUACCUUGUCGGCAUCAUAUAUAUGAAAUAUUGCUGAGAGGAGUUUUCGAGUGUUAUUUUCCCGUAAAUACAAGUAAAGACAUCCAAUUGUUUCGCCGGUUUCAAGAGAAUUGAGAAAAUAUUGAUAAAAACAAUUUUAAAGACUUGCUACAAAACAAUGAAUUAAAAUUACGUUUGAAUGAUAACGUAGAUACCAUUUUAAAUUUUUGCAAGGAAGAGAUGAAAAAGAAAAUAGUUAGAGAUGACUAUAGGAAAUUAUUGGAAUUGACGUCUAUAUGUCUAGGAGCAAAUAACGGCAUAAAAUUUCGUGUACCAGGUCCCACUCAUCAUGCGCGGUGGAUGUCUAAAGCAUUAUAUUGCUUAAAGAUCUAUUUAUUUCGUGAACAGUUCAAACUAACGGAAUAUGAAGAGAAUUCGUUAGCAAGUAUAUGCGCAUUUAUUAUAAGAUUCUACGUUAAGCUUUGGUUUAGGGAUGAUCGAUAUUCAAAAAACAUCGAUGUUGACAUCGAUGUCAUAAUCGAAAGCUCAACAUCGAUGUUCCAUAUUUAUCAAAAACCGAACAUCGAUGUUGGAUCCAUCGAUAAUUUUUCAUUAAUAAUUGACAAAGAAACAAAACACAAUAUAUAAAUUCGAAAUUUAUUAAGCAACAGAUCAAAUUAUUACAUAUCCCAAUAUUUUUUAUUAAUUGACUGAAGCAAAAGUAAUUUUGGUAAAGAAGAACCUUUUAAUCGGUUUCUUUGUUGAUAAAGAGUAGAACCAGCUUUUGAAGAGCUUUCUGGGAAAUAUAAGAUAAUAAGAAAAGAAGAAAGAUUCUUUUUUACAAAUCUACUUCUGGGAAAAAUAAGAAUUCAUAUUUUUGGACUACUAUAUAAUAAUUGUGGCAUAAAAUUUAUAUACCAAUUGAAAUAAUAAAUUUAAAAUGCGCAAUAAUAUUUUGAUUUAUGCUUGUAUAAGUUUUUUAAAUUUAAGACUUCGCUCAUUCCCAACCCAAUUUUCAUAAUUUUUCUGUAAAUUAACAAUAUUAUACUAAAUAUUAAUUUUUUGAAAAAAUGUUAUUUUCAACAUGUACUUUAUUUUUAUAAUAUAACACAACCGUCUUAAUACUCGCUCUUCUAAUUUUCAUAUUGCCAAAUUGAAAAUGCCGUGGGCAUAUGUAUGUGCAAAUGGGAUAUGUUGCCUCUUCAAAAUUUUCAUAGAAAUGAAAAGUGCGCUGUCAAACUGCUGAAGUGACAGCUUCUAGCUUACUAUACAUGGCAAACUAGAUAGUAUUCUAUAUCUAGUAAGCUAUGAGCAAUGUGGAGUCUCCACAGGCAAUGGGCACGGCAAUGCAGCUAGUAUUCUAUAUAUUCAAUCCUGUCGAGAUGCCCCGUAAGCUGCAUUGCUUUGGAUGACGUCCGUGUCGUGCGUGAAGCCGUAAGUUAACAUCAAUGAUCGAUUCCGUUAACAUUGAUGUUGCGAUAUUUUUCGUAUGGUAACAUCGAUAUUAAAACAUCGAUGUUUUUGCUUUCAAUAUCGAUGAUUAUCGAACAUCGAUGUUCAUCGAGCAUCCCUACUUUGGUUUAACUGCACCAAUCCGUCUAAAGCACCUCUUCAAGACUUGUCUUUUAUUAAAGAAAUUCACGGGUAUAGAAAUGUUAAUAUAAUAUCUGAAAUUGCAAUAAAAAAAUUUGUAAACACCUCUGGUAACUGUCUGAAGAAUGUAUUGCAUUGACAUUAUUCGACGAUGACGUUUCUUAUGCCAUAAAACAAAAUGGAAAAAAUUAAAAACAAUGACAACUGCGACAAGGAAACGGAACAUUUAAAGAGGGUACACGUAAGAUCCAGUGAAAUCAAUGAAUUUAUAAGAAAAGAACUACAUGAUUUUGUAACAGCGAAUACAAUUGAUUUUUUAUGGACGGUUUGGGAUUUCACCUCAAUUUCUGCAGGUAGAUCCACUUUAUUGGAGGGAUACAGAAACCUAUCAAAAAGCUAAGGAUAUUGUUAUAAAUAUAAAAGUGGUUAACGACACAGUAGAACGUGGAAUAAAACUUAUGGAAGAAUAUAAUAGAAUACUAACAAAUGACGAACAAGAAAAUCAAUAUUUAUUACAAGUUGUAACUGAUUAUUAAAAACAAUUUGAUUCACAUAAUAAAUAAUUUUUAAUUAGAUCACAAGAAAUAAUAUUAUAUUUUUUAUUAUUACAAGUUAAAUUACCUUUCGCACAUAACAAAUGAAGUAGGGUGGACUAAAUUUAAGAAAAUGUAAAAAUUCGUAAUUUUUCAGGAUUUCAAGCUCCUUGCGCAACCUCUAAAUCUUUUUUGAUUGACCUAAAACUUUGUAUAUACUAGUUUUUUGGCUAUUCGCAUAUUUCAAGGGGGUGCGAUCGAGAAUUGGAAUACUUUGGAAAAUAAGGGCCACCCCAAUGUACAUAUGUAUUUUAUGCGUUGAAGGCGGCCUGUACAAUCCAAUACAAUAUGUGAAAUGUUAUCGCUCAUUUGCUGCAAGACCGGCAGAAAUCAAAAAACGUGAUUUUUGAGUUAAUGCUGCUGAAUUGUUCGUUAUAUCAUACUUCAUGUUGAGUGAAAAAUUCGUAUGAAUACCUCUCAUAUGCUCCGCUUGAGAAGAGGUGUAAGGUUGGAGUCACCGUGUAAGGUUGUAGUCAGUUGAAAACUUUAAACGCGUUUUCUGGUGAAUCGAUUUUUUUGACUUAUGCCGGUCUUGCAGCAAAUGAGCGAUAUGUGAAUGUUUGUUUUAUAUUUUAAAUGAUCAAAUAAUAUUUAUCUUUUCUUUCAUAUCGCUUUCAUGUUUACAACUUUACUACCUACUGAUUAUCUGUUUUUUUAUUAUAAUAUUUGUAAAUUUGUCUACACACAACUUUGUAUGUAAAUGUGUACGCUUACUACUUCAUGCGAAAUCUCCGUUGUCACCGGCAACCAAUGGCUGAAGCUCACAUUUUGUCGAAGAGUCAAUGUGUCGAAGAACUGACGUGACGACAAAGCGUCACACCAUUGUGUUGUUGGUCGAAAAUCCGAGCUGUGCCGAAAACACAAACGAACGAUCGCCAGUUGCCACUGCUUCCCUUGCCGCUGUAACAGCUUCUCCAACAAACCAUUGUAAAUAUGUAUGUUUGCAUACAUAUCGACACAGAUUUUUGUAAGCCGCGUAAAAAUAUAUAUACAGGGAAACCUCCCACAAGCGGACACUGACGGUUCCACAAUUUUUGUCCGCUUAUGGGGAGGGUCCGCUUAUAGGAGUGGGCGAAUAAAAAUUUUACUAAAAUUUAUGCACACACUACUUUUUAGAUAAAUUAGAUUUCUUGGUAAUUUAAUUUAUAUAUUUCAUUUUUAUUGCGAGAUGUUUCAUAGUUAUAAUAAAUUGAACAUAUUUAUUUAUGUUUGGACUUUUAAAAAUUCCUUUACCGUAGUUUGUCGCCACUUUCCUUGUUUCUGUUUUAUAAAAAAGUUUUCAGGAUUUCUUUCCAAAUUUUUGGCAUACUGAAAUCGAGUAACGUCGUCACUAAUGAAUUUUUUAAUGCGACGAAGUUGUUUUAGUGUUUCAGUGUAUGAUUUAAUUUGACCCGCAUCCUGAGCGCAUACUUCAUUUAGUUCUUCAGUUUCUCUGUCAGAUAAUUCGUCAGUAACCGUUUCGUCAAUAACAAUGUCAAUAUUAUCAUCUUCUGUAGUAACAAUUUCGUUGAUUAACAAAAAGUCAUCGGAAAGCUGCCCUUGCUCAUUUUCAUUUAAAAGUUUUAUCAAAGCCGAUAACGUCGAUAUGGGAAUAUCGUCCUCUGCAUCGAAGUCAGAAAUUUCGUUCAAACUUUUUUGGAAACCAGCUUUUGAAAAACAGUUUUUAAUUGUUUCCAUCGUUACGUUGUCCCAUGCAGUCUUAAUAAAAUAAAUAGCCUCCAAAAUGUCAAAUGUUUCUAAAAGUUUGUUCAUUGAAAUUUCAUCUAUUCUUGUUAAAAUAUGUUUGAUAAUAUUGCAUCUGUAGUGACAUUUGAAAUUCUGUAUAAUUCCCUGAUCGAGGGGCUGGCAAAUUGAUGUUGUAGUAGCAGGUAAAAAGAUCAACUUUAUGUUAUUAAGUUUAAUAUGUCGAGGGUGAGUUGUGGCAUUGUCCAAAAAUAGUAAAACUUUUCUUAUCUGAGAGCCCAUUUUUUUAUCAAACGUUAGUAGUCACUCACACAUAAUUUCACGAAACAUCCAAGCUUUGGGAUUUGACUUCCAUUCAACUGACAGACUUUUUAUAUCGCAUUUUUUAAACGCGCGUGGUCAUGCUGUUUUUCCGAUCACUAACGGUUUUUCCUUAUCUCCAGCCAUAUUGGCACACAAUAGCACUGUUAAUCUUUCCUUCGAUAACUUACCGCCAACACAUUUUUCGUUCUUCAAGGCCAGAGUCUUAUUUGGCAAAGCCUUGAAAAAAGUCCAGUUUCAUCUACGUUAAAUAUAACUUCUGGUCUGUAGCCCAAUAAAAAGUCUGGUAGCUUUUGUUUGAAUUGAUGUACAUCCUCAGGAUUAACCUCAGCAGAUUCUCCACAUAUGCAUUUGAAAGUCACAUUAUGUCAUUUCCGCCAUUUUCCAGCCAUCCAUUUGAUGCCGAAAAAGUUUGAACUCCUACUUUACCCACAAUUUGUUUUGUUUUUUCCUUUUUAAUAUGGCCCGACACUAGUAUAUUUGAUUUGAUUUCUGGCUUUGACAAACCACUUAAAACACAAAUUGUCUAUUUUUGAACCAGCGUUUAAAAAACUGCGGCAAGUUUCAGGAAAAACUGCGGCAAGUCAAGGAAAAAAUCAGAAGUCGCAUGAUUUGACUGGCGCAAAAAUCAAAUAGCUACGAAAAUCAGAAAUCAGCAUAAGUCGCCGUUAUUCGUUUUUCUGCUUUCUGCUUUGCUGUUGCUUUCGUUCGUAUACAUAAGUUGCCGCAGCAGCUAUCAACAAUUUUCGACAGUUGUUGGCAGUCACAGUCGCGAAAAGUAAUUCAUUCGGCUUUUUGCUACUUUUGAUUUUUGUCGCUGUCGCUUUCGAUCAACAGCGUAAGUCGAAAAAAGCAAAAAGCGUCCGAUUCGUGGAAGUCACCAGCAGUUGCCGUCUUGUUCUUUUUCCUCUUUUGCUUUUAUUUGCAAUUUGAACGCUGCUAGACUCACAUGUGUUCAGUUAUGGCGCCAAGUGCAUCAUUUAAAAUCUAUUUGGGAUAGACUUAAUAGUCUUCACCCUACUGGCAAUAUGUGCUCAACUCCGAAUUCCAGCUCUAAUGAAAUGCAGAACUAUUUUUUUGAUGAGGACGACGAAUUGUUAGAAGCGUACUUAUCUCACGGCGUUAAAUCAGAAGUCAACAGUACAAUCGAUGUCUAUUCAAAAAUUGAAAACCUGAAACUUUCUUAUCAAAGGGUUGACAAAGACGUUAUGUCUUAUUGGAAAGGAAAACAGUAUACCGACCAGGAAUUAUACGCAAUUAGUAAUAUUUGUUAUACCGUAUCGCCAGCUCAGGUGUCGAUUGAACGAGCUUUCUCUACUUUAAGACUGGUGCUUACCGACUAUCGCAAUCGAUUAAGCCACGACGUUCUUGAGAACAUAUUGCUAGUAAAAUUAAAUCCUAGCUUUCUGGACAUGCCCAUUGAUACGUUGCCACUUUUUGAACAAGAGGAACUUUGUGAUGAAUAAUCAAAAAAAUGAGUAAUGAAUGUAAUGAAAGCAAUGAAAAAUUAAUUUACUGUUAUGUUUUUAUGUUAUUUUAUUCCAACGAAUUUUGAUUUAGUUUUUUAUUUUUGUAAACUUAAGAAAAAUUAAAAAAGUUGAAAAUGAACAAAAUAAUAAAAAAAUUCAAGUACACUAUGAGUAAA